CUUUGGCCGAUUCAACAUCAGCCGCGGGAGGUGUGAAAAUGUACCGUAAAGCAACAACGGUGCGGGACACACCAACCUGAGUAGGGCGCCGCGAAUGCCCGACUGCCUCUGAUGGCCUCUGACUCCCAAAAUCAGGUAGGUAUGUCAGAGCAUUAAAGGUCGAUUUUCGGCGUCGAUAGAUCGGCGAUGAGCGUCGUGUCGCCCUACUCAGAUUGGUGUGUACUGCACCGCUGUGUCUUUUCGGCCGUGCCGACACCUUCCGCCGCCGAUUCGACAUGUUGUAUUGGGAGGCCGUCGGCCAAAGUAAUCACUCUGAUUGGCUGUUCAGCUUAGCAAAUCUGUGCAUGAGAAGCGAAACGGAAGUGAGGGACCCAAACAAACGAAUAAGUAGGCACACACAGACGGCUAUUCUUUUUCAUUUUCAUCUCACCUGGACGCAAGAGUUUAUUUUUCAUCAUGGCGAUCUGGAAUGAUGAAACCGAAGACCAACUUAUCAGCUACAUCCAGGAGAGGCCAGCUCUGUUCGACAUUACAGAGAAACUGUACGCGAACCGCAUAGUGAAAACCGGACUCUGGCGAGAGAUUGAAGCUCUACUUGUUUUAUCAGAGAAAGAGCUCAAGAAAAAGUGAGAUUCUCUGCGAACCCAGUACACCCGGUACAGGAUAAUUGCACCAUCGGGUAGUUCUGGAACACUAAAGACUGGCAGACAGCAGUGGAUCCUGACCAGGCUGCAGUUUCUAGAGCCCUACACAAGAAGGAAUGAGUACUUCAAACCUCACCAUCACGGAACCUCCGGUGGCUGCAGAAUCACCUGAUGGCACCAGCAGUGAAACCUGGACCAGCACCCCUGAGGAGCCCUUCCUCUUUGAGGCUGAGUCAAGGUCCUGCACUCCCCUGGCAGAAUCCAACAUCUGUGGAACAGAGUCCACACCGGCACCGCUCGGAGAGGGGCCAAGCCUACUCAGUCAGUUAAGCACUCCAAGGCCUCCGGUGAAGCGCGGCAGGAAGAUUCAGGAUGAGUCCGCCAGUGAGGCGUCAAAAAUAUAGAUGCACAAGAUUGGCAGGACCAUGGAACAUUUUACUUCCACGGGUGAACAUAAUGACGACAUCGCGGCCCAUUCAAACGUGUUUGAACACAGACUGCGGCGGUUGCCACGUAAUGUGCUGCCACACUUCCUGCGUGAUGUGGAAAACAUCUUCUUUAGGUAUUUAACGGUCGUAGAAACCGGCAGAUUUGUCUAUGCGAUGGUAAACAGCUUGCCCUGUCUUAUUCUGUGGUUGGAUACAGACAGACUGACUGCCCUAUAUGCAUGCAUUUACGUCUGAGUGCCCUACAGUGUGCAUUUCAGAAGAUAGGCUGUCUCAUCAGCAACAUUGAUAAUGAAAGAGCUGACAAACUGUGCUGUAAAUUGAACUCAUUCUGUCAAACAUGAAUAUGUGUAUUUAAUGUGCAGAAGUUUACCAAGUCUGAUGUAUUUAUUUUUAAAUAAUGGAAGGAUGAAUACAGCUAAAGAAACCUGAAUCAAGAGUUGUUUUUUUUCACCAAAAUGUUCAACAUCUGGACAACCCUGUUUUACACCUUCUCAAGUAAGAAAGCCCUGACCAAUCAGUAUGGUUCACUAGUUCAGCCAUAAACAUAAUCCUUCAUCCACUUCCUGAAUGGAAACAGUACCAGGAGAAGACAUUAUUAACAUUUGAUUGUGUUUUAGUUUUGGUUGCUUUUAUUAUAUGGACAAUAAUUAAAAGAGGCAUAUUUGUCUUGGGCAAUGCGCACCACAACA